rnacentral:snoRNA from 1 species
UAGAGAUGCUUAGGUGGGGCAUGGCCAAAAAAAGGUUGGGAACCACUGGUAUAACACAAUUUGAGCUUGCUAUAGCAACAAAGUCUAACUUUCUCAGGUGCUCUCUCUUCUAUGAGAUAAGCCAAUAUAUAGACUUAGAUAGU